GGGAUUCUGCUUUUGCAUCUUCCUCGUUUUCUCUUGCCGCUGCCAAGUAAGAAGUGCCUUUCACCUCACACCAUGUUUCUGAGGCCUCCCCAGCCAUGUGGAACUGCAAGUCCAGUUAAACCUCUUUUUCUUCUCAGGGCUACCUUAAUGAGCAGCCAGGAUGCCAUCAUCUCCGACCUGAAUGACAAUAACCUCCAAACCAGCCUUUGUAUACUCCUUCCUGCUGCUCUGCAGUCCACUUCCACAGACCAGCCAACUGAAUCUCCUUAUAGAUUCAUAAUGGCCAUCAGCACAAAGAUGUUUUAUCUGCAGUCAACCAGUCAUGUUUCAUGAUGGCAUCAAAAUAUUUGACAGUUUGGUCUACAUUUCAAGGCUGGUUAGAUGGGAGUAAUUGGGUCAGUCAUGCUCUUGAAGGAGGCAUACUGGGAGCCAUACAUUACCAGAGGCAGAGGAUUCAAUGGAUGUUUUCUGUUUUCUCUUCUUCGUGCUCUGUAAUUGAGACACAGAACAAAGGUAAUCUUUGCUUAGCGUAAUAAUGGAGAGUGACUAGACCAACAAAAGAUAUGUCAGAAUCAUUUGCAAGGGUAAAACUUACGAGUGUAUUUGUGAACCUGCUUGAACGCUCCAAUGCACAUGUGUCUGUACACAAUUUCUGGCCUAUUAACAUUUCCUAAUAUUUUAAGCCUCUG
rnacentral:lncRNA from 1 species